UCCACGCAGUAAACGAUGAACACUAGUCGUCGGGAUGCUAGUCAUCUCGGUGAUGCACUUAACAGAUUAAGUGUUCCGCCUGGGGAGUACGGUCGCAAGAUUAAAACUCAAAGGAAUAGACGGGGACCCGCACAAGUGGUGGAGCAUGUGGUUUAAUUCGAAGAUACGCGAAGAACCUUACCUAGCCUUGACAUUGAUUGAACCUGCCAGAGAUGGCGGGGUGCCCUUCGGGG
rnacentral:rRNA from 1 species